rnacentral:lncRNA from 1 species
AACUUGUAUACGCAUUAUAUUCCUUAAAAGGAAAAAGGCAUCGUUAGGGGCUUGGCUAAAACAUUAUCAGAGUUUGCAACGGAAGGCGUAACUGAAAUAAUCAGUGUUUACAGCGGAAUGCAUAACUGAGAUACAUGUAUGAAGACAUGUAUCCUUUCUGAGCCUACUUUAAGUUCAACAAAAACUCCACUCAGCAACACUUCAUCGCCCAUCACAGCUCAACCUGCACAAUCAUAAACAUCGAAGGGCUAAGUACAAAAGUACUUAGUGGGCAGUUGCCAAGCAUAUAACAUAACAUCAACAACAAAACACAACAUCGCAUAAGAGGCAUGAGUUUCUUUCAUAUCCUUUGCUCAUUAAACAUUUCCAAAUUAAUAAAUAGUAUAAGGGCAUUCUUCAUCAUUAAUAAUCAUAAACACGCAUCGUGUCGUGGACAAGGCCUUCCCCAACGAACACGGGCAUCGCGCCAUGAAGGGGGACUCCUUCAUCGGUCACGGCAUCGUACUAUUGAGGGAGGCCUCCCCCAAUAGACGCUAUAACACUGUCAUACUGGCAUACUGGCAUCGCGCCACUAGGGAGGCCUCCCUUAGCGGACACGGGCAUCGCGCCGUGAGGAAGGCCCUCCUCAGCGGACACGGCAUCGUACUGUUGAGGAAGGCCUCCCCCAACAGACGCAAGCAUCAAUCAUAUGCAUAAACUUAUUAGCGUAAGCAUUCAGCGUAAAUAACAUAAUCAAGCGUAAAUCAUUUAGCAUAAUAAAGCUUAACUCAUUUAAGCGUAAUAAAGCAUACCACACUUGAAGAUCCAAUUUGCAUUUUAAAGCAUAACACAUAGCAUAGCAUUUUAUUUACGCGUAAGAAAUUGCCCACCUGAUAGCAAAGUUUUGCUAAGGUACUCUAACUCCUUGUGUAGUUCUUACUCUCGCGCUUGACCUUAAUCACGAGAAUAAUAAAAUAAGACAUUGCCUCGAGGAAAAUUCUUAAUUAAUGAGAAAGCGUAAUUAACUAUGCAUGAACUAAUAUUCUGAAAUAAUAAUCAUGGAAAUUCUAUUGUUAAUCCAGGUUAUCGGAUUUAAACAAAAGCUAAGUCUCGUCUCAUGAUUCCGGAUAAUUAACUAAAAUUAAUCCGUUCUCUUCGGGAUGUUCUAAUCCGUCGAUUAAAUAAAUCCCGCUCCUCGUAGUCAAUAGAAAAUAAAUAAAUAAAUACUUCAACUUAUUCGCCUUAUAACCUCAAAAACUCAAUCGGGCUUAAUAAAUGGAAGAAAGUACUGUUGUAAGUUUAAUUAAUAAAAAGGCUCGACAUAAGGUAGCCCAAUAAUUAAUUAAGCAGAAAUGGGCCUGGAUAGCUAAAAUGAAAGGUCCAAUUGAAAUAAUUCAUUGGGCUUAGUAAUUAAAUAAUUCUUGGCCCAAAUGAUUAAAUAAUGAAUAGUUGGGCUCAAAUAAAAUAGAUCAUGUAAGGGUCCCAACUAAAUAAAAUUUCAGUCCAUAAUUUAAAAUUAGCCCAAGAAUAGAAUGAAUUAUUCUGAGCUUAAAAUUAAAUAAAACUCGGCCCAGCUGAUAUGGUACAACAGCCCAAAGAAUUAAAAGACAAAAGCCCAAUUCCUGAAAUGAACUCGGCCCAACUAAAUAAAAGAUACUCUGGGCUUGGAUCAAUAAAAGUAGGCCCAAAUAAAACAACAUCCCAUAGAAUUAAACUAAAGCCCAAGAUAUAAAAUAAAAUUUAUCUGGCUAAAUUAAAUAAGAUGUAGAGGCCCAAAUAAUUAAAUGAGGAGGCCCAAAUAAUUAGUGGAAAGUCCAAUAAAAUAAAAUCAAGCUCCAAAAGAAUUAAAAAUCGAGGCCCAAUUGUAGAAUAAAAUAAAUUAGGCCCAACUAAAAAAAACUAAAGCCCAAUUGAAUUAACAAAAGAGGCCAAAUAAAUUAAAACAAUUCGAGCCCAAAAAUAUAAUUGGGAUUUGGAAUAAUAGUCCAUCAUAAAAUAAGCAUCAGCCCAACUCUUUAAAUAAAUCAGGCCCAAAACACUUAAAAUCUGUAGCCCACAUAAAUUAAAAGGGAAAGACCCAAUUUAUUUAAAAUAAACAAGCUCACAAUUUAGCCCAAUUAAUUAAAAUAGGGGUAAGCCCAACAUAGCCCAAUCCCUCUCUCUUCUCAAGCUCUCGGCUCUCUUUCUCUCUCAACUCUCAAACGUUUUUUUUUACAGAAUUCAAGGCCGAGAGUCCUCUUCUUCAUCUUUCAAAAUUUCGCCGCCGCGUCUGCUGCUUCUGCAAAUCUGGCGAGGUCGCCGCACAAUCGGUCGGCGCAACCCUGUCUGCUUCUCUCUUACGCCUUCACCUCUCGAGUGAAUCCCUCAGAAAUCACACCAACAAGAGCCCUAAUUUCUCCCAUCAUAAAUCGCUGCCGCCGUUGAAGAACUGGGAUCCGGCGAACGUCGGCUGCUGUCACGCCCUUGUCUGGAGCCAUCGCCGCCGUCUGGAGCGGCUGCUGCUUCGCCUGGAGUCGCCGCCGACUGCUGCUGCUCGUCCGGUGGUCAGCGGUCGUCGUCUGGGAGAGCGCCGUCGUCGGUCGCUGCUGCUCCUUCGUUCGGAAUCCGUAGAAUCAGUCGGCCUCUCUCAACAUCAGUCGAGCUUCAGUCGCCUUCUAUGCUCCAACCUGCGUCGGCUGCCGCCGAGCUUAGGUCCGGCGUCGUUCAGCUUCCGCCAGUUCCGUCCAGCGUUGCUGUCGCUGUUCCCGGCGAAGGGUGUCGCCUUCACCGUUGUCAUCGUCGUCUCAGUUUCAACCGAACGGGAAAGCCGUCGUUCUUCCUAUAACAAGAUAAGUGUUCUAAAUCCUAUUGUUGUCUCUAUAGGUGCUUAUACUGCUCAUCAAUAAGUUCUGUAUUUCUUAUGUGAAUAAGCCUUCCUACUUUCUAUUCACUUCUUUCAUAAAAACAUAAUCUGAUGUUGUGACUUGUGCGACAUGAGGGAGUUAACAGAGAUAGAUUGAUCACCUUGAAUGUUUGUUUCGGUGGGAUGUUGCUGUGGUUGAAUUGAUGAUAACUGAAAUAGAAGGUUGUUGGCUUUUCUCAAUACUUGCAGGAGUAUAAGAAUUUAAGUGGAUGAAUUAAAGCCAAAUUUACCUCUUGAAGUUUUGGCAGGGAAAUGAACUGAUGGUUUAUUUUACUUCUUCCAUUGUUAGCUGGAGUAACAAAUGCUUGAAACUUUAGAAAGAUCUACACUUGCUGGGUUUUUCUCUUUGGUUGAUUUUCAAGUUUGCUUUCUUGCCUUUGAUGCAACGAUGGACAGAUGAGGAUUUUCUUGGAUGCUUGCAGAAGAUGAGUGAAGUUCUCCUGCUCUUCUCGUGGAGUUAGUGUAGAAUGGAGGUGAAUUAGUGGCUAUACUUGAGUGUGGUGGAGAAGUUGGUGGAGUGGAGAGGUGGGGAGCAAAAUUUUGGUGGACAGCCACUUUUUCUUUCUAUUAGCUUAUUCUAUUCUUUCUCUUUUCUUCUUUAUGCAAAUGCCAAAUUAUUGGCGUUGUAAUGGUGGCAAAGUGAAGUGGAAGAGUAGGUGUAGUGGUGAGGUUGGUGGCUGAUAGUGUAGGAGACAUUAGGGAGUGGAAAAUAAUGAUGAUUGUAAAGUAUUGAAGUUACUAAAAAAAAUCAUCUAGCUUGAUAUCUUUUUCCUUGCCUGCUAACUUGAUAAACUGUAAUAUAACUUAAAUUAAAUCCGUAGAUUUAAUCUGCGUUGCAGUCGGAAUAAUUCCUCGACUUUUAGUAGCACUAAUAAAAUAUAACUGCUUCUGUUUUUCGAUUAAUAAAUAACAUGACUUUGCUAAGUCAGUUAUAACUUGGAAAUAAUAAUUAUUGAAUGGCUCAAUAAUUCUCGUCACGUUUUUCUCAUACGUUAUAAAAGUAUAAAGCUAAAAUAAUAACUCCGUCUCUGAUAAAAAAAAAAUCAGGACCAUAAACUGGAUUCAUUUAUAAAAAUUUGCAUUUACUAGUUUUAAUCAUAAUUAAAAUAGCGGGCUACUACAUACUACCCCUCUUAACAAAAAUUUCGUCCCGAAAUUUGCAUGUCUCUGCUAAAACAGUUCGGGGUAUUUUUCCUUCAUCUUGUCUUCAAGUUCCCACGUAGCUUCUCUUGUCUGCGGUGUCUCCAUAAGAUUUUCACUGAUGUGAUUGAGGUUGAUUUCGCAAGUGUCCACGUAUUGCUGGCAAGGGGGUGUGGGUGUUCUCAAUUGCUGAACCUCGUUGUCUGUUGGGGCAUUGCGUGGAGUAGUGACCCUUUUGGCCACAAUUGUAACAACCGUUAGUCCCAGCUCGACAAACACUCCUAUGCAUCUUACCGCAAUUUGGGCAAGGUAAAAUUCCUCUCUGACCUUGGUUACCUCCAGUUGACUCGAGGUUAGUCUGUGCCUCGUGCCUUGGUUGAAUAAACUGUUCGUCCCGUUCAUAUUCUUGCCAUACUCGCUUAUUAAUCGAAUUGAUAUUGUCUUCAUUGUAGUCCCUCUUGCGCUUCCCUUUGAGGGUUUGCGAGGCUGCUGGUGGAUCGUUUGGCGUUGAGAUCAAUGGUGGGGCUGACUUGUCUGACGGCAUUGCAGCUUCAAUGUCAAAUGCCCUGUUCAGAGACUCCGUGUAUGAGAGUCCUCCGUGGCUUGCUAGAGCCAUCUUAAUUUCGUACCGCAGUCCGGCACAAAAUUUCUCUGCCAUCUUUUCAUCUGUGUCCACUUGUUGCGGAGCAAACCUAGACAGGUUGCAGAAUUCCUUGUCGUAUUCAACCACAGAUUUCUUUCCUUGCUUUAACUCAUAGAACUCAGCUUCUUUCUUCUUCCUAUAGCUUUUCGGAAUAUAUUUAUCAUAUAAUCCCGUCUUAAAAUCUUCCCAAGUAUAACUUGCCCAUUGUUCAGGUGUCAGAAUUUUUCGACGUGCUUCCCACCAGAAAUCCGCUGAUCCUGUUAGUUGGAAUGAGACGCAAGAUAGGCGCUCCUCAUCAGUACAACGUAGAAAGUUGAAAAUGCGUUCCAUUGCACGCACCCAAAUCUCAGCUUCAGCUGGUUCACUCGUUCCGUCAAACGUAGGUGGAUUUUGCCUUAAAAAGAGUUCUUCGACUCUCCUAGUUGGGGGCGGAGGGGAUGGGUUAUGUCCUCGAGCAUCUUGUGGUUCUUCGGGUACAGCGUUACGGUUUCUGCGAUUGUUAUUGUUUCUCGCAGGGCGUCCUCUUUUAGGCGGCAUUCUGAUAGCAAGGAUGUGCCAAUUAGUACACUCUAGCAUAAUCUAAUACAAGCCUCAAAAGAAUUCUUGUAAAGGUCAACUUAUUAUAACUUGUAAACAAGUCAAGACUCCAAUGACAACAUUGAUGUAGUAAGCUUUAAGGGUCCUUAGCAUCUCAAAUCCAUGAGUCAUAACAAUUCUUAAGCAUAUAAUAUCACAUCAUCUAAAUUGGAUACUUAAACAUAAGUCAUGGAGAUUUAUAGUGGCUAUAAAAUCAUGAGCUUAAAAAUUAUUCUAUAUGCAUCACUUAUCUUGCUGCCUUCACUAUAGCCACCAAAAGAUACAAUCUAAUUUCUUCUAUGUUUGCUUCUAUGUUCUGUCGUAGUGGUGAUCUCAUAUCUUAAUAGCUCUAUGUUCAUAGGGAUUCAUUCCAUAGGCAUACUUAAUCGUACUUGCGUAAAUCAUUUCAUUCAAUAACAACAUAACAAAGCUAUUGACAGUUUCUCACUUUGUUAUUACGAUAAUUCUCACUUUUCGUAAACAUUAACUUAAAACUUGGAAGAGCUUACCAUUCUGCUUCGUUGAGUGUGAUGCGAUGAAGUGCUGAGCUUUGUCGAUUGAACUCUAGACACUUUAGUGAUCCAUUCUAAGUUUGGCUUAAAUAAACUCUUAGGCUCAGAGCAAACGAACUGCUCUGAUACCACUCUGUCACGACCGGCCUUAAUUAAGGAUAAUUAAUCCGGGAAAACCAUGACUGAGGAAGGGAAAUUAAGAAGCGGGUUUAGAAAGGGGUGCAUAAAAGAAUACUCAAAGAGCUUGAAUACGCGUGAAAUAUUCCUUAAAAGGAAAAAGGCAAGUGCAAAAAGUUGACGAUAGCGCUUAGGGGUCGAUUGGCUAAAACAUUAUCAGAGUUUGCAACGGAAGGUGUAACUAAAAUAAUCAGUGUUUACAGCGGAAUGCAUAACUGAGAUACAUGUAUGAAGACAUGUAUCCUUUCUGAGCCUACUUUAAGUUCGACAAAAGCUCUACUCAGCAACAACACUUCAUCGCCCAUCACAGCUCAACCUGCACAAACAUAAACAUCGAAGGGCUAAGUACAAGAGUACUUAGUGGGCAGUGCCAAGCAUAUAACAUAAUAUCAACAACAAAACACAACUUCGCAUAAGAGGCAUAAGUUUCUUUCAAAUCCUUUACUCAUUAAACAUUUCCAUAUUCAUAAACAGCAUGAGCGCAUUCUUCAUCAUUAACAAUCAUAAACACGCAUCGUGUCGUGGAGAAGGCCUUCCCCAACGAACACAGGCAUCGCGCCGUGAAGGGGAGCCUCCCUCAGCGGUCACGGCAUCGUACUAUUGAGGGAGGCCUCCCCCAAUAGACGCUGUAACACUGGCAUACUGGCCUACUGGCAUCGCGCCGCGAGAGAGGCCUCUCUCAGCGGACACGGGCAUCGCGCUGUGAGGAAGGCCCUCCUCAGCGGACACGACAUCGUACUGUUGAGAGAGGCCUCCCCCAACAGACGCAAGCAUCAAACAUAAGCAUAAACUUAUCAGCGUAAAGCAUUCAAGCGUAAAUAAGCGUAAUCAAGCGUAAAUCAUUUAGCGUAAAGCAUAAUAAAGCAUACCACACUUGAAAAUCCAAUUUGCAUUUUAAAGCAUAAUACUUGCAUAGCAUUUUAUUUACGCGUAAGAAAUUGCCCACCUGAUAGCAAAGUUUUGCUAAGGUACUCUAACUCCUUGUGUAGUUCUUACUCUCGCGCUUGACCUUAAUCACGAGAAUAUAAAAUAAGACAUUGCCUCGAGGAAAAUUCUUAAUUAAUGAGAAAGCGUAAUUUAACUAUGCAUGAAUCUGGUAUGCAUGAACUAAUACUCUGAGCGAUAAUCGGGAAUUCUACUAUUAAUCCUCGUUAAUAGAUUUAGCUAAUUCUCGUCUAGCGCGGUCGAAUAAAACUGUGAUUCUUCCUUCCUCAUCGGAAUAUUCUAGUCGUGAAAUAAACCUCGCAUUUGUACUUGAUUGAAAAAGGACUAACUCGGCUUUAAACGAGGUGUGACCUUGUAGAAAUUAUCGGGCUUUUCGAUAGAAGCAUCAUUACUAGCGUAACCUCAAAUAAUUAAUAGGCUCAAAAGAGAGUAGCCAAUUAAUUAAAUACUUGAUUGGGAUUUGGAAUAAUAGUCCAUCAUAAAAUAAGCAUCAGCCCAACUCUUUAAAUAAAUCAGGCCCAAAACACUUAAAAUCUGUAGCCCACAUAAAUUAAAAGGGAAAGCCCAAUUUAUUUAAAAUAAACAAGCUCACAAUUUAGCCCAAUUAAUUAAAAUAGGGGUAAGCCCAACAUAGCCCAAUCCCUCCCUCUUCUCAAGCUCUCGGCUCUCUUUCUCUCUCAACUCUCAAACGUUUUUUUUACUAGAAUUCAAGGCCGAGAGUCCUCUUCUUCAUCCUUCAAAAUUUCGCCGCCGCGUCUGCUGCUUCUGCAAAUCUGGCGAGGUCGCCGCACAAUCGGUCGGCGCAACCCUGUCUGCUUCUCUCUUACGCCUUCACCUCUCGAGUGAAUCCCUCAGAAAUCACACCAACAAGAGCCCUAAUUUCUCCCAUCAUAAAUCGCUGCCGCCGUUGAAGAACUGGGAUCCGGCGAACGUCGGCUGCUGUCACGCCCUUGUCUGGAGCCAUCGCCGCCGUCUGGAGCGGCUACUGCUUCGCCUGGAGUCACCGCCGACUGCUGCUGCUCGUCCGGUGGUCAGCGGUCGUCGUCUGGGAGAGCGCCGUCGUCGGUCGCUGCUGCNGGAAUUCAUUCCAUAGGCAUACUUAAUACGUGUUUGUCAUAAAUACAUUCAUCAACAACAUAACAUAGCUAUUAACAGUUACACACUUUGUCACUUUUUGUAAACAUUAUCUCAAAACUUGAAAUAGCUUACCAUUCUGCUUCGUUGAGUGUGAUGCGAUGAAGUGCUGAGCUUUGUCGAUUGAACUCUAGACACUUUAGUGAUCCAUUCUAAGUUUGGCUUAAAUGAACUCUUAGGCUCAGAGCAAACGAACUGCUCUGAUACCACUCUGUCACGACCGGCCUUAAUUAGGGAUAAUUAAGCCGGGAAACCAUGACUGGGGAAGGGAAAUUACGAAGCGGGUUUAGAAAGGGGCGCAUAAAAGAAUACUCAAAGAGCUUGAAUACGCGUGAAAUAUUCCUUAAAAAGGAAUAAGGCAUCGUUAGGGGCUUGGCUAAAACAUUAUCAGAGUUUGCAACGGAAGGCCUAACUGAAAUAAUCAGUGUUUACAGCGGAAUGCAUAACUGAGAUACAUGUAUGAAGACAUGUAUCCUUUCUGAGCCUACUUUAAGUUCGACAAAAACUCCACUCAGCAAUACUUCAUCGCCCAUCACAGCUCAACCUGCACAAACAUAAACAACGAAGGGCUAAGUACAAGAGUACUUAGUGGGCAGUUGCCAAACAUAUAACAUAACAUCAACAACAAAACACAACAUCGCAUAAGAGGCAUAAGUUUCUUUCAAAUCCUUUGCUCAUUAAACAUUUCCAAAUUCAUAAAUAGCAUGAGCGCAUUCUUCAUCAUCAACAAUCAUAAACAAGCAUCGUGUCGUGGAGAAGGCCUUCCCCAACGAACACGGGCAUCGCACCGUGAGAGGGGGCCUCCCUCAGCGGUCACGGCAUCGUACUAUUGAGGGAGGCCUCCCCCAAUAGACGCUGUAACACUGGCAUACUGGCAUACUGGCAUCGCGCCGCGAGAGAGGCCUCUCUCAGCGGACACGGGCAUCGCGCCGUGAGGAAGGCCCUCCUCAACGGACACGGCAUCGUACUGUUGAGGGAGGCCUCCCCCAACAGACGCAAGCAUCAAUCACAGGCAUAAACUUAUCAGCGUAAAGCAUUCAAGCGUAAUCAAGCGUAAAUCAUUUAGCGUAAAGCAUAAUAAAGCAUACCACACUUGAAGAUCCAAUUUGCAUUUUAAAGCAAAACACAUACAUAGCAUUUUAUUUACGCGUAAGAAAUUGCCCACCUGAUAGCAAAGUUUUGCUAAGGUACUCUAACUCCUUGUGUAGUUCUUACUCUCGCACUUGACCUUAAUCACGAGAAUAUAAAAUAAGACAUUGCCUCGAGGAAAAUUCUUAAUUAAUGAGAAAGCGUAAUUAACCAUGCAUGAAUCUGGUAUGCAUGAACUAAUAUUCUGAAAUAAUAAUCAGGGAAAUUCUAUUGUUAAUCCAGGUUAUCGGAUUUAAACAAAAGCUAAGUCUCGUCUCAUGAUUCCGGAUAAUUAAUUAAAAUUAAUCCGUUCUCUUCAGGGUGUUCUAAUCCGUCGAUUAAAUAAAUCCCGUUCCUCGUAGUCGAUAGAAAAUAAUUAAAUACUUCAGCUUAUUCGCUUUAUAAACUCAUAAUUUACCGGCUUAAUAAUGAGAAUUUGAAAUGUUAUGAGUUCGAAUAAUUAAAAGGCUCAACAUAAGGUAGCCCAAUAAUUAAUUAAGCAGAAAUGGGCCUGGAUAGCUAAAGUGAAAGGUCCAAUUGAAAUAAUUCAUUGAGCUUAGUAAUUAAAUAAAUCUUGGCCCAAAUGAAUAAAUAAUCUAAUAGUUGGGCUCAAAUAAAUGAAGUAUGCUAGGCCCGACUGUAAUUAAUAAUUCAGCCCAAUUGAAAUGAAAUAAUAAAGGCUCAUCUGAAUAAAUAAAUAAAGCCCAACUGAAUAAAAUAACUGGGCUUGAUUUAAUGAAAAUUUAGCCCGAUCCGAAACCAAUUAAAGGUGGCCCAAUCAUAAAAAUAAAACAAGGCUCAAUUGGAUAUAAUAACAAAGCCCAAUAAUCAAUUAAGUGAAAGAGGCCCAUUAAAAGUUAGGCCCAACUGAAUUAAAUUAGGCAAGGCCCAAAUAAUUAAAUAAACUUGGGCCCAAAUGAAAUAAAUUAGAAUUGGCCCAAUACAAAAAUAAUUGGAUGGCCCAAACAAUUAAAAUAUAUCGGCCCAACUGAUAGCCCAAUCUCUCUCUCUUUUCUAAUUCUCGGUCUCUCUCUCUUUCUCAAGAUUCAAUCUCGCCUUUCUCUCUCUGGAAGAGCCGCUCAAGACAUCUCUCUCUCUCUCUCGCCCGCUCUACACGAGCUCCGCCGCCGCGUCUGCACUUCUUCCGGCCAUUCAACCGGCAUCUGCUUUGGUCGGCUUCGACUGCCGACUCGUGAAACCCCGGCCGCGUUCUCUCUCUGCUCCUUCGUCCAUCCACAGAACCCAAUCGAGCCCUAGAAUCUGGAAUGUCGCCGCUGCCGAGCAGCCGCUGCUCGGGCUCGGUACCGGUCGAACAGAGCGGUUGCGUCUCGUUCGUGGCUGCGUCGGGCUGUUCUCCCUCUCUCCCCGCUCUCUAUCUCAUCGUGUUCGCCUCACACUCCAAGAACCCGCCGCCUUCCUCCGCGGCUUCUGAAAUCCGGCGAGGUCGCGGCUCACCUCCUACACUCAACUGAAUCUCUAAAUUCUGGUGCAGACAUACGCCGCCCUUAAAAUCGGCGAGGUCAACGCCGUUCGUUUCCCCUUCUUUUAAAGCUGAAUCUGCCGCUCCGGGUUCGCCGCCAUCUCCACCGUUUGUGGAAGAUCAGCGAUUCAGCGCCGUUGUUUCGUUCGUGACGCUGCUGCUGUUGUCACGCAAUUUCCGCCGAGGCAGCAGGAGAUGCCGCUGAAAUCUGUCCUCUGCUCAAGAACCGGCUCAAGCCUCACUCUCUCCCUUUUUCUAUUGAAUUAUGGUAUUUCUAUAAUUGAUUAUGCAAGAGAUAAAACUAAGUUCGUGGUUUACUAAUGUAUCAAGAAAUUUCCUUGCUUGCCUCGUGUGAUAAGAAAAUAUAGCAUAAACUGAUUUCUGCCUAAAGAUCAUAUGAGUUUGCUAAGUCUCUUUAUGAAUAUACUCAUUGUAUGCUUAGUAUCCUUUAAUCGAUCAUGUCUUGUUGGAUAGAAAAACGAAUGGAUUGAAUGAGCUGAGCCUAGUGUUUACCUUGUCUAUUUGUGCUUGAUUGGCUGAUCUGUUUUCUUCUUCUUGGUGAAAAUUUGUUGGCAUAUACUGUUUGAAUAAGGAGAUCUCGGAGAUUAUAGAUGUUAUUUCGGGUGUUUUUUUUUUCUGUGUGAAACUUGGUUUUGAUGUUGGCAUGAGCUUGCUGUAAACAUUCUGUUGGAAUAUACGAAUUGGAUUUUCUUAAACAGCUCCACUGGCGAUCUAUUGAGUAAGAAGGGAGAAGGAUUUGGUGGGGAGCAAAAGAUAAUGGAGUUGGUGGUGCACUAGUGUGGUGGGGGAAAAGUAAAGUAGUGGUGGGGAGGUAGGUAUAAUGGGAUUUGGUGGAGUGGAUGCGUGUAUAG